rnacentral:rRNA from 1 species
UGAGGAAUAUUGGUCAAUGGGCGCAAGCCUGAACCAGCCAUCCCGCGUGCAGGAAGACGGCCCUAUGGGUUGUAAACUGCUUUUCCAGGGGGAGAAUUUUUCUGUCGUGACAGGAAUUGACGGUACCCUGGGAAUAAGCAUCGGCUAACUCCGUGCCAGCAGCCGCGGUAAUACGGAGGAUGCGAGCGUUAUCCGGAUUUAUUGGGUUUAAAGGGUGCGUAGGCGGAUUGAUAAGUCAGUGGUGAAAACCUGCAGCUUAACUGUAGACUUGCCGUUGAUACUGUCAGUCUUGAGUGUGGUCAAGGUAGGCGGAAUGUGUAAUGUAGCGGUGAAAUGCUUAGAUAUUACACAGAACACCGAUUGCGAAGGCAGCUUACUGGGCCAUUACUGACGCUGAUGCACGAAAGCGUGGG